rnacentral:rRNA from 1 species
CCUACGGGAGGCAGCAGUAAGGAAUAUUGGACAAUGGGCGAAAGCCUGAUCCAGCCAUGCCGCGUGAAGGAUUAAGGUCCUCUGGAUUGUAAACUUCUUUUAUGUGGGACGAAAAAAGGGCAUUCUUGCUCACUUGACGGUACCAUUUGAAUAAGCACCGGCUAACUCCGUGCCAGCAGCCGCGGUAAUACGGAGGGUGCAAGCGUUAUCCGGAUUCACUGGGUUUAAAGGGUGCGUAGGCGGGUAGGUAAGUCAGUGGUGAAAUCUCGAAGCUUAACUUCGAAACUGCCAUUGAUACUAUCUAUCUUGAAUAUUGUGGAGGUUUGCGGAAUAUGUCAUGUAGCGGUGAAAUGCUUAGAUAUGACAUAGAACACCGAUUGCGAAGGCAGCAGGCUACACAUAUAUUGACGCUGAGGCACGAAAGCGUGGGGAUCAAACAGGAUUAGAUACCCUGGUAGUCCACGCCCUAAACGAUGAUACUCGACAUACGCGAUACACUGUGUGUGUNUGAGCGAAGACAUUAAGUAAUACCACCGUACGGAAGGUACGUCCCGCGAGGAGUAGAAACGUACGAAGUAGUAGUUAGUACGGACGUUGGAGACGUUGCCGACGGACGACACGAGGGGAGGUUAGG